rnacentral:rRNA from 1 species
GUGAGGAAUUUUCCGCAAUGGGCGAAAGCCUGACGGAGCAAUGCCGCGUGAAGGAUGAAGGCCUAUGGGUUGUAAACUUCUUUUCUCAGAAAAGAAUUAUGACGGUAUCUGAGGAAUAAGCAUCGGCUAACUCUGUGCCAGCAGCCGCGGUAAGACAGAGGAUGCAAGCGUUAUCCGGAAUGAUUGGGCGUAAAGCGUCUGUAGGUUGUUUAAAAAGUAUUCUGUCAAAGAUUAGGGCUUAACCCUAGAUAGGCAGAAUAAACUUUUAAGCUAGAGUUUGGUAGAGGCAGAGGGAAUUCCCGGUGGAGCGGUGAAAUGCGUAGAUAUCGGGAGGAACACCAAAGGCGAAGGCACUCUGCUGGGCCAAUACUAACACUGAGAGACGAAAGCGAGGGGAGCAAAUGGGAUUAGAAACCUCAGUAGUCC